rnacentral:rRNA from 1 species
GACGAACGCUGGCGGCGUGCUUAACACAUGCAAGUCGAACGGAAAGGCCCUGCUUUUGUGGGGUGCUCGAGUGGCGAACGGGUGAGUAACACGCGAGUAACCUGCCCUUGACUGUGGGAUAACUUCAGGAAACAGGGGCUAAUACCGGAUAGGAGCUUCUGCAGCAUGGUGGGGGUUGGAAAGUUUCGGCGGUUGGGGAUGGACUCGCGGCUUAUCAGCUGGUUGGGGAGGUAGUGACUUACCAAGGUUUCGACGGAUAGCCGGCCUGAGAGGGUGGACGGCCUCAUGGGUACUGAGAGACGCACCAGAAGCCUACGGGCGGCAGAAGUGGAGAGUAUUGCAGAAUGAGCGGAAGCGUGAUGCGGCGACGCCGCGUGCGGGAUGCCGGCCUUCGGGUUGUAAACCGCUUUCGCCUGUGACGAGGCGUGCGUGACGGUAAUGGGUAAAGAAGCACCGGCUAACUACGUG